rnacentral:misc_RNA from 1 species
GCGAGUAAGACCCUGCCUUAGUGGCUCGGUCAGUCCCAUCAUAUACACCUUUAUUCGUGAACUCGUGGUUCAGCUGGACGAUGAAAGCUUUGGCGACUAGCCGUCCGUCGGUUCCGCUCUUUAUACCCUUUAUGUGAAGUCAAUGGAAAUUAUGAUAAUCUAAUA